UUCCUCUUUGGUAUGUUUGUCUACUUCUUUCUUAUAAUUUUAUCUUUUUCUUUUACAAAUAUACAGUUCCUUUUACUAUUAAUUUAUUUUAAAAUAAAGUGCUAUGUUUGAUUGAUUAUCAUAAUUCUUCUAUUUCUUGACACAAUAUGAAUAUUGCUUCAAAUAUAUCAGUAUUCUCUGUAGCGCAGAAGUCAAUUUAUUUAUGCACAUAGCAUGACUACCAUUGCAACAACUGAUGCACGAUGCCGUAUUUUUGAGGUAUGUUUUGUUUUCACUCAUGACAGAUUUAGGCCAAGGUGAAUAAGUACUAUUGUACAAAUAUAACAUAAGGUUGUAUUGAAUAAAUCAUUGUGGUCUUAUCCUCCCUGACUCUGGGUAUAGCGGCAAUGCAUUGAACUGCUAUUUUAACAUUGAAAAUACAACUUGUGAAGUAACUAAGAAAUUGUAACUUCUUUAAUUUGCAACUUCUUUGACUUGGUCACUUUUUGUUGAAUAAGAAUGGGUUGAAGCAUUGAAGGUUGGAAAUAUUACUAGAUAUUAUUUGAAUAUAGAAGUAAAAUACUUACAUUUUUUUGGCUCCAAAAUAUUUAAUUAGAGUAUAAAUUAGGCAUCUUUGACAGAAAACACCAUAAGUGGAGAAUUUUAUUGCGAUUUAAUAAAAGUAGAGAAAGUUCGAGGAAGUUGUCUGAUUUAAGAUAUAGUGUUUAAGAAUUCUUUUUGAGGUUUUACAAAAUUGAAGAAAAUUUGAGUUAGUUGGUUUUUUUAACAAUAGUACACACUGGCAGACUCAAAGUCCAAUUCAAGCAAGCUGUUUGAUUUGACUUCAAUACUAUACUAUAUACUGAAUUCUACACAUUUCAGUCCAUUUCCUAUCUUAUGUGCAAUUUGACCUAUUGUGAGUUGGAUAUGCAAGACCUCUGCUGAAGAUAAUAGUACUACUAAUAAACCCCUAUGAUCUCCCUGUCUUUAUAAUUUCUUAAUAAAUGUAUUCUUUUGCUUCAAAUCUAGAACUUUUAAAAUAUCAAAUUUAACAAUAGAAUUGUCAUUUGAUUUCUCGGACUAUCGUGACGUGCUCAUAUAAUUUCUUGUUUAGGUAUGAUCACUCUGCAUACAAACAGUCAAGUGAAAAGGUUAGAUACCUAUUUCCUUGAUCAUAUGUACUUUACACCUUUUUGUUCUCUGUGUUCAUAAACAAAGCAGGGACAAAGAUAAAAAAUUUGCUGUCUUUACCUGUUUCAGUUUGUUAUUUAAUAAUAUAAUAUGAUUAGUAGAAAAAAAGUUGACAUCUGUUUUGGAAACCAACUUUUAUCGACCUGCUUGCGAAAUUUCAAUUAUACUUGUUAUAAAUGAUAGAAGUUUAAUUUUGGCCUUUUUGGACUUCAUUAAAAUUUCAAAUGUUUAGAAGUAAAAUGCAACUAAGAUAUGGUAAAAUCCAACUGUCAACCUCAUCCUUAAACUAUAUAAUUGUUAUGUUAGUGUUGAUUUAGAUGUAGGCAUAUCAUAUUUACUAAAUUCUUCUGCAACUCUCGUGUGCAGAUUACUUAAAAACAAAGGUAACAUUAAGCUACUGAAGGAUUAAUGUGCCUCUUGGCAAUUGAAUAGUUGAGUACACUCUUAAGAAACCUUGCAUUGGAUCUUGGUGUGAAAGAAAUGGAUUCUGAUAAAAAGUGUACACAGAAAUAGAGUGAUAUCUUCAUGUUGAUUCAUUUGGCUAUAAGUUAUUGGCUUUCUUUACUUACAUUUUGAACUUUUAAACUAAUUUACUCAUUAAAUUUAAUUUAACAGGUGUUUGAUCGUGCAUGCUCAAGAGGUUGAUCACAAUAACAAAAACGCAUCUCCUGUUGUAAAAUUUAUAAAUAAUAUCUUUACCUAUGUUAAUAAAUAAUAAUCACUAUGAUAUGUGAGUAUCAUUUUAGCAUCUAAUAGUGUGGUAUUUCCAU
rnacentral:lncRNA from 1 species